rnacentral:rRNA from 1 species
GAUGAACGCUGGCGGCGUGCCUAACACAUGCAAGUCGAGCGAUUCUCUUCGGAGAAGAGCGGCGGACGGGUGAGUAACGCGUGGGUAACCUGCCCUGUACACACGGAUAACAUACCGAAAGGUAUGCUAAUACGAGAUAAUAUGCUUUUAUCGCAUGGUAGAAGUAUCAAAGCUUUUGCGGUACAGGAUGGACCCGCGUCUGAUUAGCUAGUUGGUAAGGUAACGGCUUACCAAGGCGACGAUCAGUAGCCGACCUGAGAGGGUGAUCGGCCACAUUGGAACUGAGACACGGUCCAAACUCCUACGGGAGGCAGCAGUGGGGAAGUAAUUUGCACAAUAGGGCGAAAGCCUGAUGCAGCAACGCCGCGUGAGCGAUGAAGGCC